rnacentral:lncRNA from 1 species
AAGGAUUGAAGCCUCUCACAAUAACUCAAUUUAAGAUAUGCCAACUUAGAAAGAUGUAUGAUGCUCUCUGGUAUUCUCUCAAAAUUGUUUUUCUCUAGAUACAAUUCACGUAAUAAGGAUAACUGACCGAGAUUUUCAGGUAACUCCGUGAUGCCGCAAUCAGUUAGAUAUAAAGACGUUAGAUUUUGCAAGCCAUCAAAAUUGUUCAAACCAACAAUGGACAACGGCACUUCUCUUAUAGCAGUUCCUUCAGCAAUCAAACUGUCCAAAGCUUCUAAAUUUCCAAGUUCAUCGGGCAAACUCUUAAGACUUGAGCACCAUCUGAGAUAAAUAAAGUUCAGAGAGUUCAAUUUACAUAGGCUGCUUGGGAGACUCUUCAGCCUUUUGCAACGAUCAAGGUAUAAGGCCGAAAGCCGAGAUAGACAUUCUAUGGAUGAAGGCAGUUCUUCAAUUGCAGUUUCAUUUAAAUACAUCACUUCUAUCUUACCAGCUGAUGAGAUCUCCGGAAGCGUUUUUAGUUUUGAGCAGCCCCAAAGAUCAAGUUCUUUAAGAAAUUCCAAAUGAAAUAUUUCACCUGGAAGAAUUCUCAAGCUUUUGCAAUUGUUUAGAUUUAGGUUAACUAGCUUGUCCAGAUGCAGAGUCAACGAGUGGUUUGGAGAUUUGGUGAAAAAAUUGGAGGCCCGGCUUAUUAUCUGCUUUAACUUACCAUUAUGCUGCUCCAAAAAAAUUAGAAGCCCAGACAUACAAAUUGUUAGCAUUUAAGUACGAUAAAUAAUUAAACAUUAUUACUGAAACAUUGCAUAAAUAUUAGGAUUUUACAUACCUCGACAUCAUCCCAAAGUUGUUGAAUAUUACCGUGAGGCAUUGCAAUUGAAACAAGUUUCUCUGGAUGAAUAUUUGACGGCAAUGAUUUUAGUGGAUAUCCAUACCAGUGAAGAUACCUCACUUCAGCAAAUCCAUGUCCUACCAAAUAAGACACCUUACAUUUGUUCUCUCCAUCAUCUUUAGAGUUAUAGAAUUUCAAAAAUCUCAAUUUACACAUCUUUGUGAAAGUAUCUGGAUGCAGAUGAAUCUCUUUUAUUCUAGACAUAUCAAAGCAGAUACCCUCGACUUUUUUGGUCCCCUAACAAUCAAUGAAAGAUCAGGAAGUUAAAUUCAAAUUUAAAUUAAUGUUCAAGUUAAUUGAAAGCCUACGUACAAAAGAAACAUUGUAAUAUAAACAAUACUAAGCAUAUAAAGUAUCCAUGUUUGUUUGCCAUACUUCUAGAUGUAAAUUGACAUGUCUAUGUACAAAAGAAACAUAGUAAUACAAACAAUACUAAACAAUAAAGUAUCUAUGUUUGUUUGCCAUACUUUUACUUGGAAACUGACAUUGCAAUAUUUUUUUUUCCUUUUUAUUAUUGCCGGUUCUUCUAUUGAUCUUAUAUCCCAUCUACUUAUACAUAAUUAUAAUUAAAGUUUACAUAUCCAAUAGCAUUCCAAAAUAAUAUAUUCUCAAACAAAAUGCUUACCGUAUUAAAGGUCAAAACUUCAAUAAUAUCAUCAUCGUGCCACAGCCCACUGCGUUCUCCUGGAUUUUUCACAGAUUCUUGCCUGACAAUUUCCCUACCCAUUUCUUCUAACAGAUCAUGCAUUGUUAUUCCGUUUUUGUGUAUGACAAUAAGAGACUUAUUCACAAGAUCACUUAUUCCUAUUUGUGCAUCAAAGCCACAAGCAUUUAGAAAUUUUAUAAUGAAGUCUUUACCUUUCCCUUUAAAGAAAAAAACAAUGUCUAGAAAAAUAUCUUUCUCUUCAUCAUCCAGAUCAUCGAAACUUACUUUUAGCACAUUUUGUAUCUCCCUAUUAGGAAUUCUUUUCAAUUUGUUUAUUGCGCUUUCCCAAACUUCCUUUUCCCUUCCAAACAGAUAGCAACCCAAAAUUUCCAGUGCUAAAGGAACACCUUGAGCAUAAUUUAUUACAAUCUCUGACAAUUCCUUAUAACCUACUUCAGGAGGACGGUUUUGUUUGAAGACAGGUCUACUAAAAAGCUCAAGGGCAUGAUCGUGUUCUAAUUCUUUCAUCUCGUAAAUGUCUCUCUCUUUCACAACCCAAUUCUUAAGGACUUGUUGAUCUCUUGUGGUUAUUAUGAGACGACUUUCAGGCAGAAACCAAUCAGAAACUCUGAUUAAGGAUUUUAUUUGUCUAAAACUAGUCACAUCAUCGAGAACAAUGAGAACCUUCCUGCGGCUGAGCCUUCUAAAGUUGAAGUCAAUAUCAGGAAUCACACUUACAUCCUUCAAUACUUCUUUAAAAAGUUUCUGCUGCAACCUAGCUAAUCCACCAGGGCUCUGCGAUUCUUCUCUUACAUUUUGAAGGAAGCAAGAACCUUCAAAAUUUCUGGAGAUUUUGUUGAAAAUCACCCUAGCAAUUGUUGUCUUGCCUACACCACCGAUGCCCCAAAUCCCUAAUAUAGGUGCAGCAGCUAAUAGAGAUUCAAUCUCCUCAACUCUUGAUUCUACUCCAACUAGCUGAUUUUUGUUAUCAAAUGGAACCACUUUAGGCAGCCUCUCCAAAAUCUCAUCAACAACUGUAUUUAUAAGUUCAGAUUCCUUCCUAGCAAAUACAAGAAACAUAAUAUUAAGUUCAAAAAGAGGCAAAAGGAGAGUUUUUAAUUAGUUCGGAUUUGAGACGCAUUUUUUUGCUUUUAAAAUUAUUUAUAUAACACUAGAACUUGGGUAAAUAAAAAUAAUUAUAAAAUUGGUAAUAAAUUGACUGUUACCUGAAGACAUGAGAAUCAAAGCCAGAGAGAUUGGCUGCUUCAGUUAAAGCACUCCCCCAACUUUGCUUCUUGUCUGGAAAUCUUUUUUCAAGCUCCGAAAAUGAAACCCCAAAACUCCCAAUUUGCUUUCUCACAUGUGAUGGAUCGACCCGAUAGAAAAUUGGUAUCACAAUCUGUGCAUACUCUUUCCUGCAAUCGAGGAUCUUUAAAAGUUCAUCGAGGCACCAUCUGGAAGAAGCAUACCCUUCAGAGAAUACGAUAACUGAUAUGCUUGAUGCUUCAAUUGCAUCAAGAAGAGACUGUGAGAUUUCAUUUCCUCUGACGAGUUGGUCAUCAACGAAAGUUUCGAUAUUCGUUUCACACAAAGCUGAAUAAAGAUGGCUAGUAAAGCUAUCACGGGUUUCCUCUCCUCUGAAACUCAGGAAAACGUCAUACUUAUUGUUUCGAGGAUUAUUCAUCGAACUCAAACUGCUGGAUGGACGAGAAGAAGAAGAAGAAGCCAUAACGACUUACAGAAACAGUUCAAUUGAUUAGAGAUUUUGAUGAUUAGAAAAUUGAUUUGGGAUAUGAUAAUAAUUUUGCAAAGUAGAUUACUAUCAGCUAUUUAUUGUUUUUUUUUAUUGUGUAUGUCAGAUUUAGUAUAUUUUGUAUUUUUUUUUAAUAUUGAAAUUUUAAUUUCUUAUUUCCAUCGGUAAAAUCUAGAAUAGUUUUGUAUACAGAUUUUUUAGACUAUGGUUAUAAAUUUACAUUUGAAUCACUUAAUUUAAUUUGUUAUCUAUUGUUAAAAGUGAUUUUUUUUUUAUAUUUGUGAUUUUAAAUGAGAAAACCUAUAAAAAAAAAUUUAUUGGGUGCUAUAGGUUGGUUUGUUAAUUGUUAAGACUCGGGUUCAGGUCUAAGUAUCGAAAUGCUUGGACCUGACUUUGAUAUAAUUUUUAAACACCCAGGCUGGGUUUUUUAAUCCAUGUUUUUGUACCCCAGAUUUUGUACUUUUUUAAUAUUAUAUAUGUAUUUUUUUAAUUUUUUGUAAUUUUAUAAUUUUAUAAUUUUUAAAUUUAUUUCAAUGAAAUUGGACAUGAAAAUAUAAACUUUAAAUGUUUAAAACUUUAGCUAUAUGUAAUAGAUGAGUCAAAUAAAUAUAAAUAUUUAAAAUAAUAUUUUUUUUAUAAUAUUUUUUUAAUAAAAUCCAGGUUUCAGACCGGGUCUUGGGUUUAUAAAGUGAUGCCCAAGACAGUUAUGGCUUCAUACCCAAGCUUAGUAUUAUUCGACCCACAUCGCUCGAGUCCGGACCGGGCUGGUAUUUUUGCCACCCCUAAAACCAACAAUAGAUGGGCUUUUUAAAAAAAAUAAAAACCCACUACCGAUUGUGGGUGAGUUUAGUAUUUUAAAAUUUUUAUGGGUGCGGGUUAGGUUGUAUUUAUUAGUUCACUACCUACUCUAUUUAUUUCUAUUGUGUUGCCUUCUUGUUGUUUAUCUUUACAAUUAUUACAAAAGAAUUUUCCUGUGUUUGUAUAUCUAUAUCCAAAUUCAAAUUUUUUAUCAUAGUCUAUAUAAUUUUUACCAAAAAAUGAUGCGUAAGUUUCUAAAACAUUAAUUUCUAAAUCUGAUUCUAUUUAUGAGUUUGAUUCUUAACUUGAAUUGUUACUAGUGUCUGAUUCACUACUACUAAUACUGCAUAUACUAUCAUUGUCAAAUAAUUGAUCUACAUUAAGAAUUUCCUCUAUGUCUGAAAUAUGUUCUUCUAUAUUAUAACUGUCUACUUCCGAUUGAUUGACUUUUUUAUUCUCAGGGCAAUAUGGUUUAAUAUGUCUUCCUUUAUCGCAUAAAAAACAUUUACAAGCUUUAUUUCUUUUUUAUAUUCUUUUUCCCUUUUGAAUGUUUUUCUAACUUUUUGUUUACUAUUAUAUUUAGUAAGAGACUGUUAUUAAUGAAAGUUUCAAUCUUUUUCCGGCAUAAAGCCAGUUAAAGCCAGUUGUUUGUGCACAUACCUACCUGUUUGAUGAAAUGUCUCACUAAAUCUAUGAGUACUAUAACCAGAAAUUAAUCAAGCGUUACCAAUGAAUUAAUCUGCUUUCACCAAAAAAGAAGCCAUGACAUGCAAAUCAGUAGCGUGUAUGAUAAUUAAAUAUGAUUGACAUUAAACACCUGGACGCUCUCCGAAGGUUGUUCAAUACUGCAACAAGGCAAUUCAAGGAAAACAAGUUUCUCCCUAUGAAUAUUUGAAGCCAAUGAUUUAUAUAUGGGAAGAAAAGAAUUAAAGAAAAGUAAUAAAACCAGAUAGAAGGAAAAGAAACCAAGCUAGCAAAACAAGGUUUAUGAAUAUAAGAUUUAUUAAUAUACUGAAAAGUAGCAGCUACUCUGAUGUCUUAAAGAAUAUUUCAAUCGAGAGUACUCCUUGGAUCUUCUGUGGGUUCCGUAGAAUCAGGGGCGUACAAUAAAUGAAUCCCACAUUUUUUCACCGGACAACAAUCCAAACGUUCACGUUGAUUAUGAUCAUCCUCUAAAUAGAACUUGACUGCCACAUUUGUGUUUCUGGAAAGCACUAAAAUCAUGAUCGCCAAAAAAAUAGUACCCCAAAAAUAAGUGAUCUGACUCUACAUAAUUAAAUCCCCUUAGAGAACUCCGUCUGAUCAGCAGCUCAGUACAAUCUUCAGGUUUGGCUUUCAUGAAUUCACAGAACAAGUUAAACCACCUCUUCUCUUUGACAUGAUGGUCUCGAAAUCCUACAACAGCGCUGUAAGCAAAGCCAAUCACUUUGUUAUUACUGAACCAACCUACAGGUGGCAUCUUCAAGGUUAUAGAAGAAGAUCCCAAACUUUGAAAGCUAAACCACUUUGGAAUUUCAUUCCCAGGUAAUAAUACUCUACCUGAACUUUGGAAAAAAUAUCCCUGUACCAAAGAUCAUAAUUUUGAAGAAAUGUUGUUAAAUUUAAUUUUAAAUAAAAAAUUAACAAAAUAGCUUUAGAACAAUGAUCUAGUGAGCAUUUGGAUGUGUGGCAGAAUUCUACAACUCCCUGUGAAUAACGUUAAGGCUGUGGAUUAAUUAAGCAAUGCGAUGUGCCACUCUCACUCUCCAUAAGAUGAGCACUAUCGGCCACUGGAUCACUACUCAAUAACAUUGUAUAGAUUAAAAGGAUCAUAAAAGACACAACAUACCUUUUCCUGUAAUUGUUUCCAAUGUGCUAUUGCCAUAACCUGAAUUUCUUGCUGAGUAUCUUCGAGAAUUUCCCUGAUCUCGUUGCGAUCCAAUUUCAAAUUAUUUCUUAGGUCAAAAUACUGAGGAUCACGACUUGGGAAUACUAAACCUGGAGAUGAUUCCAAUGCUGUGCAAUGAUGUGCAUCUAACUCACUUAGAUUGCAUGGAAGCUUUAGUAAGGAUUGAAGCCUCUCACAAUAACUCAAUUUAAGAUAUGCCAACUUAGAAAGAUGUUUGAUGCUCUCUGGUAUUCUCUCAAAAUUGUUUCUCUCUAGAUACAAUUCAAGUAAUAAGGAUAACUGACCGAGAUUUUCAGGUAACUCCGUGAUGCCGCAAUCAGUUAGAUAUAAAGACGUUAGAUUUUGCAAGCCAUCAAAAUUGUUCAAACGAACAAUGGACAACGGCACUUCUCUUAUAGCAGUUCCUUCAGCAUUCAAACUGUUCAAAGCUUCUAAAUUUCCAAGUUC